rnacentral:rRNA from 1 species
UCAAGUGAAUAAGUGCAUCAGGCGGAUGCCUUGGCGAUGAUAGGCGACGAAGGACGUGUAAGCCUGCGAAAAGCGCGGGGGAGCUGGCAAUAAAGCUAUGAUUCCGCGAUGUCCGAAUGGGGAAACCCACUGCAUUCUGUGCAGUAUCCUAAGUUGAAUACAUAGGCUUAGAGAAGCGAACCCGGAGAACUGAACCAUCUAAGUACCCGGAGGAAAAGAAAUCAACCGAGAUUCCGCAAGUAGUGGCGAGCGAACGCGGAGGAGCCUGUACGUAAUAACUGUCGAGAUAGAAGAACAAGCUGGGAAGCUUGACCAUAGCGGGUGACAGUCCCGUAUUCGAAAUCUCAACAGCGGUACUAAGCGUACGAAAAGUAGGGCGGGACACGUGAAAUCCUGUCUGAAUAUGGGGGGACCAUCCUCCAAGGCUAAAUACUCAUCAUCGACCGAUAGUGAACCAGUACCGUGAGGGAAAGGCGAAAAGAACCCCGGGAGGGGAGUGAAACAGAACCUGAAACCUGAUGCAUACAAACAGUGGGAGCGCCCUAGUGGUGUGACUGCGUACCUUUUGUAUAAUGGGUCAACGACUUACAUUCAGUAGCGAGCUUAACCGGAUAGGGGAGGCGUAGGGAAACCGAGUCUUAAUAGGGCGAUGAGUUGCUGGGUGUAGACCCGAAACCGAGUGAUCUAUCCAUGGCCAGGUUGAAGGUGCCGUAACAGGUACUGGAGGACCGAACCCACGCAUGUUGCAAAAUGCGGGGAUGAGCUGUGGGUAGGGGUGAAAGGCUAAACAAACUCGGAGAUAGCUGGUUCUCCCCGAAAACUAUUUAGGUAGUGCCUCGAGCAAGACACUGAUGGGGGUAAAGCACUGUUAUGGCUAGGGGGUUAUUGCAACUUACCAACCCAUGGCAAACUCAGAAUACCAUCAAGUGGUUCCUCGGGAGACAGACAGCGGGUGCUAACGUCCGUUGUCAAGAGGGAAACAACCCAGACCGCCGGCUAAGGUCCCAAAUGAUAGAUUAAGUGGUAAACGAAGUGGGAAGGCACAGACAGCCAGGAUGUUGGCUUAGAAGCAGCCAUCAUUUAAAGAAAGCGUAAUAGCUCACUGGUCGAGUCGUCCUGCGCGGAAGAUGUAACGGGGCUCAAAUCUAUAACCGAAGCUGCGGAUGCCGGUUUACCGGCAUGGUAGGGGAGCGUUCUGUAGGCUGAUGAAGGUGCAUUGUAAAGUGUGCUGGAGGUAUCAGAAGUGCGAAUGUUGACAUGAGUAGCGAUAAAGCGGGUGAAAAGCCCGCUCGCCGAAAGCCCAAGGUUUCCUACGCAACGUUCAUCGGCGUAGGGUAAGUCGGCCCCUAAGGCGAGGCAGAAAUGCGUAGUCGAUGGGAAACAGGUUAAUAUUCCUGUACUUGAUUCAAAUGCGAUGUGGGGACGGAGAAGGUUAGGUUGGCAAGCUGUUGGAAUAGCUUGUUUAAGCCGGUAGGUGGAAGACUUAGGCAAAUCCGGGUUUUCUUAACACCGAGAAGUGAUGACGAGUGUCUACGGACACGAAGCAACCGAUACCACGCUUCCAGGAAAAGCCACUAAGCUUCAGUUUGAAUCGAACCGUACCGCAAACCGACACAGGUGGGCAGGAUGAGAAUUCUAAGGCGCUUGAGAGAACUCGGGAGAAGGAACUCGGCAAAUUGAUACCGUAACUUCGGGAGAAGGUAUGCCCUCUAAGGUUAAGGACUUGCUCCGUAAGCCCCGGAGGGUCGCAGAGAAUAGGUGGCUGCGACUGUUUAUUAAAAACACAGCACUCUGCCAACACGAAAGUGGACGUAUAGGGUGUGACGCCUGCCCGGUGCCGGAAGGUUAAUUGAAGAUGUGCAAGCAUCGGAUCGAAGCCCCGGUAAACGGCGGCCGUAACUAUAACGGUCCUAAGGUAGCGAAAUUCCUUGUCGGGUAAGUUCCGACCCGCACGAAUGGCGUAACGAUGGCCACACUGUCUCCUCCCGAGACUCAGCGAAGUUGAAGUGGUUGUGAAGAUGCAAUCUACCCGCUGCUAGACGGAGAGACCCCGUGAACCUUUACUGUAGCUUUGCAUUGGACUUUGAAGUCACUUGUGUAGGAUAGGUGGGAGGCUUGGAAGCAGAGACGCCAGUCUCUGUGGAGUCGUCCUUGAAAUACCACCCUGGUGUCUUUGAGGUUCUAACCCAGACCCGUCAUCCGGGUCGGGGACCGUGCAUGGUAGGCAGUUUGACUGGGGCGGUCUCCUCCCAAAGCGUAACGGAGGAGUUCGAAGGUUACCUAGGUCCGGUCGGAAAUCGGACUGAUAGUGCAAUGGCAAAAGGUAGCUUAACUGCGAGACCGACAAGUCGGGCAGGUGCGAAAGCAGGACAUAGUGAUCCGGUGGUUCUGUAUGGAAGGGCCAUCGCUCAACGGAUAAAAGGUACUCCGGGGAUAACAGGCUGAUUCCGCCCAAGAGUUCAUAUCGACGGCGGAGUUUGGCACCUCGAUGUCGGCUCAUCACAUCCUGGGGCUGUAGUCGGUCCCAAGGGUAUGGCUGUUCGCCAUUUAAAGUGGUACGUGAGCUGGGUUUAAAACGUCGUGAGACAGUUUGGUCCCUAUCUGCAGUGGGCGUUGGAAGUUUGACGGGGGCUGCUCCUAGUACGAGAGGACCGGAGUGGACGAACCUCUGGUGUACCGGUUGUAACGCCAGUUGCAUAGCCGGGUAGCUAAGUUCGGAAGAGAUAAGCGCUGAAAGCAUCUAAGCGCGAAACUCGCCUGAAGAUGAGACUUCCCUUGCGGUUUAACCGCACUAAAGGGUCGUUCGAGACCAGGACGUUGAUAGGUGGGGUGUGGAAGCGCGGUAACGCGUGAAGCUAACCCAUACUAAUUGCCCGUGAGGCUUGACUCU